UGGUUGCUCCUUGUAUGAGCCUCAUCUGGGUACCUAACCCGCAACCCAUGUGCCCUGACUGGGAACUGAACCAGCAGUCUUUCUCUUUGCUGGAUGUUGCCUAACCCACUGAAGUCACACCGGUCAGGGUGGCCUCUGCAUCUCUUAAGUUUAUUUGGUAGUAUGGUUUCAGUCCAGCAAAGUGGAUAUUGUUCUUCAAACAAGUCCUGUACAUUUACUUUUGGGUCUUUGUGUAUUUUGCUGUCUCCUCCUUGGAAUGCCUGACACUCUUCCCACAGGUUUUCUCUUCUCUUAAGCCUAUCUGUCUUUCAAGUCACAUCUAGGAUCCCUUGUCUCCCUUUUUUUGGAAAUAUUUUAAAAAUCUUCCAUCAUAACAUUUUGUACCUAUAUUUAGUACCUCAAACUUCUACUGUGAUACUGUAAGCUUAGUCAGAACUAAUGUAUCUUUUUGUGCUAUACUGGACAUCCUAUAUAAAAACUGCUGUGCUUAGAACAAUGCCUGACACAUAGUAGGUGCUCAGUAUUUGUUGAAUAAAAGAAUAUAAAAGUUACUAUUAUUAUGAGGUCAUGAAAGAACAGGAGAAAGGUAAGCUGAUGUGAUCCUUCUGGCCACCAUCCGUAUAUUUACUUGGUAGGCUUUAUAAUUGGAUUGAUGAGAUACAGCUGAGUAAUAAAAGGAAGUCAAGAGUUAGGUUUUUAUCCUAGUAAAAGACUAGUAUAUAUCACUUUAAAUAAGCACUCCUCUGGGUUCCAGCAUGUUUAACCUUAAGAUGACAAGACUGGAAUAAGUAAUUUCUAUUGUUCCUUCUACUCUAAUCUUGUUAAUUCUCAAAGAUGUUUUAGAAAGAAACAGCCUAACAUUACUAUUGGUAAGUUAAAUUGUUUGAGAUGUUGGACUCUCUGGGAGCCUUAAUUUAAAAAUAGGUCUUUACUGGACUUAGAUACUCAAGGCUUAGAAUUCUCAUAAAUUUAAUAGUAACAUUAUUAAGUAUUAAGUAAUUUUUAUUUUAAUGUAAAUAUAUUUUUUCUCAUUUUCAUAUUUGAUGGUCUUAAAUUUUCAUAGGAAAUUAUUUUAGAAUAUGAUUUUAUUAUAUCAAGCCUGUUUUUGUGAACCUUGGAUCCAGAUACAUUGCAUCUUUUCAACAGUUUCCUGUUUAUUUUUGGUAGGAUUUAGACAUUUAUGGAUGGUUUUCAGAAAAAAAAAUUCAGUGCUAGAGUGGACGUAUUCCCCAAAUAAGGACAUAUAUAAAAUUUUGUGAAACAAAUAAUCUUAGGGGUUUCACAUAAUAUUUAAUGGUUUUAAAUCCAUUCUGUAUGUAAUGCUACAUGUUUCUUAGAGUAGUACGCAUGUUAGAUUUAGGCACUAGGCUCAGUUAGCAGAAAAAAUGGUGGACUCCUAUUUGUAGAUUUCAAAUAUUGGCACAUUAGCUAUAUUCCAAAACCUAAUGACCCAAAGCAUUGGUUUUAUUUAACAUUUUUACUUUGUGUCCCAUGUGUUAUUCUUUUCUUUUAACACUAGCAUUACUACUGAUAGAAGUCUAGUACUUUACGCAGUACAAUUACUUACGAUAGUGUAAGUUUGCCCAUAAAAUAACAUUGAUGACCAUAUUUAUCUAGUAUUAGGCACUAUCCUUAUUCUUUUUUUUAAGAUACUAAAUUUUUUUAUUUCUUUAUUGAUAAAAAUGAUGAGGUAAUGGCUUUGAAAGAGUAUUAGCUGACAUUUUGUCUCAGAUUAUUAAAAUAAACAAAAAAUGGAAAUUAAACUUUGUUAUUUCUUUAUACUCUCUUCUGGUGAACUAAGUUUUAAAAUUCUUAAAAAUUGUGAAAUAAGCAGAACGAUGAAAGGUUUGCAGCAAAUAAUUUAUUUUAUUAGUAAAAAGAUUCCCAUAUAUUAUGUAUUUGUUUACAUACAUUGCCUAGUUUAGUUGAGUUGUGGGAAGAAAGGUAAACCAUAUUUUCAGUUUCUUAUGCUAUUAAAUAGGAAAAGUGAAGGGUUAGAGAUAGAUAUUUCAGCUGACAUCCUCAACAGCAAUCUCUUCUCCUUCUCUUAGGUGGUAAUGGAAAUUAUAAUUAAGUAAUCAAGGGUCUGCAAGCUGCUUUUUUAGUAGAAGGAAAGAAAAAUAAAUGCCGGGUAAUAUAUAAAUUAUAUUGUUUGUAGGUAAUUGAAUUUAAUUUUUACCACUUUAGGAGUCUGUAUCUGGAGGAGAUGGCAUGGCCAUCCCAAGUCAUUACAGCAGCCAGCAUUUAUUGAGUGCUUAACAAUGUGCCAGGUAUUGUUUUAGGAGUCUUACGUGUGUGUGUGUGUAUAUAUAUAUUUUUUAAUUUUAUUUAUUUAUUUUUAGACAGAGGGGAAGGGAGGGAGAAAGGGAGAGAAACAUCACUGUUUGGUUGACUCUUGCAUACCGCAUACCCCACACCAGGGAACUUGGCCCGCAAACCAGGCAUGUGCCUCAACCCACUGAGCUACAUCAGCCAGGGCAGGAGUCUUACAUAUAUCUUUUUAAUCUUCACAAAAACUCCAUGAAAUAAGUAGACACUGUUGAUUUUUCAUAUUACAGAUGAGAAAGUAGGCUAUUACUAACUGUAUCCUUGAGCAGGUGGUGGAGUUGGGGUUCUUACUCAAACCUUUUACUUCCUCAUGUAAUUUUAUUUAUUUCAGAACUUGAGCUAUUUCUUUUAGUUCACAUGAAGGUGUUUGAAGUUGUUUCAAUUUGAGUUGGUUAUAACAAUUUAUAGUGCCUAGUAGAUUAUUGUUGUGUCGAAGUAAUUGAAUCCAAUUUGGAGACCUCCUGAAUUUUCUACUAGUGGAAUUCUGAAGCUAGAACAUGCUAUAGAUGGGCUUUGUGAACCUUCUGAAGUUGUAGGUAAAAUUGUAUUGUGCGUUUGUACUUAUGUGCAUUUUUCUGGUCAGAGAGGAUCCAUAACCAUGGACAAAACAGCUAUCAUUUACUGCAUUUCAAAGUGUGGUCUGAGUGACCCUUCAGUUCUUCUAAAACGUUUAUGGAGCUGAAACUAAUUUUGUAAUAACACAAAGAUGAACUUGCACCAGUGGUACAAAAGCAACCUCGGUGAAUCUGUUGGUAUCUUAAUAUGAAUCAAAGCCUUGGCACCAAAUAAUACCAGCAACUAGUUGUGGUCAUCUUUCAUCACUAUGUACUAGCAGUUACUAUUAAAUAAGAUGCUAAUUUUAUUUAAGAAUGCCCUUAGUGAAACAGUAAAAACUGUUAGUUUCAUUAAACCUUGACUGCAGAGUGCAUGUGUCUGUUUCUGUGUGACAAAAUGGGAAGUACACCUAAAACACUUCUGCUACAGACCAGAAACACAGUGGCUGUCUGGAGGACGAGCAUUAGCAUAAAUCAUUGUUUGAGUUUCAGAUUGAAGUAACUGCUCUUUUCAUUGAACAUGAUUUUUACUAGUAGGAAUUACUGUCAAACUGGUAAUUCAGAUUUGGAUGUUUGGCAGGCGUUUUUUCAAAUGAACAGUGAAUCUGUUGCUUCAGUGGACAGUAUUUAUUGCCCAUGAUACAUUUGAGCUUUCCAGUGAGAAAUAAGAAUUUUAGAAAUUGGUUUCUGCCAUCCUGAGCUUGAUAAUUUCCCAGUACCUAAAGAUUUUUCAGAUGAGAUCAGUAGUAAUAUUAAUGGCUAUAAUUUUUGAUAAUGACAGCAUUUCGAAGAUCUGUAUAACUGAAUCAAUAUUUUACAAAUGACCAAUGCCUGUGAUGUUAAAAAUCAUGCAUAAGUAGAAGUGCAAGAUAGAACAUUGGAUUUGAAUGUAACAGACAACUAAUGGGUUUUUAGGUUCCAAAACCUUUAAGAAACUACUACAUGUGUAGUUUUGGUGUAGUAUCAAAGAGAUAUCCAUAACUACCUGCAAGGCCUAUUAAAGUACUCCUCCCUUUCCAACUAUAUACCUGAAUGAGGCUAGAUUUUCUUCAUACAUUUAACCGGCACAACAAGGGUAGUAUAUUGAAUGCAGAAGCAAUUAAGAGAAACAAGGCAUCUUCUGUGAAAUCAGACAUGGGGGAGAUUUGCGGCAAUAUAAAACAGUGUCAUGCUUUUCAUAGUUAUUUUUUAUAACUUUGUUAAUGUUUAAGGCUAAUUAUUACUAUUUUAAAUGAAUAUGUAUUUUAAAAUGUAAAGGUUUCGGGGAUCUUCCGAUUUCAAUAAAUGCAAUGGAAAUCCUGCUAUGUAGAAAUACCUGACAACUGUUGGUUUAGUCUGUUAAUAGAUUUCAUUGUACAAAUGCAUGGAAAGACACAUAAAACACAAGACAAGUGAUCAGAAUAGAAUAGUGUGCUGCUUUUGUGGGUGAAUGUCUUAAAGCUUUCCUAUGACUUGAGACUGAUUCAGCCUACCCCCUUUCUGUUCAUUAGAUACCAAAUUAGAUCUACCUUAAACUCUUUCAUCUGGUGAUCCAAAGGAUACCUUUAGGACUAAAAUGUGUCUUUUUAAAUUUAACUGUCCCUUAGAUUAAAUACCAGUAUAUAUUUUGCCAAAAUACUUGAGCUCUAAAAGGUUUUUGGGGCAUUUUCCAUUCUCUGCUUAUGUACAAUUGUCAUUAAUAGUUAAUGUAAGAUUACUGAACUCCUCAGAGCCUAGUCUAGUGCCAUUUCUGGGUUGGCUGCUUUGUCAUUAGAAAAGAGUUGAUGCCCUUGACACUGUGUUUUGAGCCCAGCAGGUUGCAGUUUGUUGUUAUUGUUGUUUUCCCUGAAAGAAAGGCAUAAAAUUGGCAUAGUAUUUUCUAUUUCCCAACUCUUGUAACUACUAAAGGGAGGGGAAGGAGAAGGAAUAGUAUUUUUCUUUAAAUUCUACUUUAAAGUACAAUAUAAUUCUAUUUUAAAAUCACUGAAUUUCCCAUUCUAAGAAUGCAGCAUCAAUUAUUUAUUGCUUAGUAUUUUCAGUAAUUUUGUGGAUAUUUUCUGUCCUUAAAAAAAUUUUGUCAAAGUAUGUAGGACUUUUAAAGCUUGCUGUACCAAUUUUUUCCAUAUUCAAACAUUGGGUUUAUUUAAAAAGAAAGCUAUUUCUUUUUAUUCAUAUGAGUUAUUUUUAGUUAAUAUUAGCAGUAGUUGAUUAAAAUGCCAUUUAGAUCUUUGCCCAUGGUGUAUGUGGAGUGCUUGGCAAGUCAUUAUUGAAUGCUUCCACAUGUCACUAUACCAGGGGUUAUAUUCUCUUGUAAUUGUGUGUUCUAUUGGUUGACUUCCUUGAAUGUUCAGGUGUCAACUGGGAUUUUUCUCUUCUGGAGUCUAUGAAUGAUCUCCUUUAUCCAGUUCAUGGGUGGACUAACCAGUGUACCCUGUUUAAGAACCUCUGCUUUAAUCUAAAAUUUUGCCUGUGUUAUACACCUACUGAAAUUUGGAGGAGUCGAGGGUAUUUUUUACAUGUUAAUGAUAAUUUUUAGCCUACUAAAAGGUAUUGUUUCUUAGGACUUCUCUUAAUACUUCUUUUUCCUGAUGUAACGUUAAAGAGAUGAAUCUUCUCUAAGGUAUUGGACUUGACAGCUUUAAUGUAUCCCCUUCAUAUUUUUUUAAAAUGAAAAACUAUUGUCACUUCAACCAUAGGUAAAAACAUUAGAGGAAUAUAUUGGAUAUUUAACCAGUUGCUUGUGUUCUGUUUCAUUUAGAAGGAAUCUAAAUUGAGAGAAACCAAAGUAGGUAACAGGGAUCAGUGGGAAAUUUUAAAAAAUGUUCGAAAGAUCUGGAACUUGCCAUUUUAGAGUUUCAGGUCUGCUCUGUGUAAAAGUAGAACUUUUUUAAGAAAUUGAUUUUAGAGAGAAGGGGGAAGGGGUGGGGAGAGACAGAGAGAGAGUGAACCAUUGAUUUGUUGUUCCUCUUAAUUUAUGCAUUCAUUGGUUCAUUCUUGUUGUGUGCCCUGGCCAGGGAUGGAAUCUGUAACGUUGAUGUAUCCGAAUAAUGCUCUAACAAAUUGAGCUUUCCAGCCAGGGCAGGAAUAGAACCUUUUAGUGUUAUCCUGUGUCUCUAUUUUUUGUCAGUUUCUCAUAGGUAACAGUUUUAUGGGCCUGGAAUGGAUAUGUUUCUAAGAUAGCACAAGACGAAUUUUAAAUAUUUUCUUGUGGCUAAUAGAAGAGAUUGGGAAAGCUCUAUUUCAAGACACACAGGCUGUUGUAGGCAAUGAAUAGUCCUUAUUUAGAGAUGCAACACGCAAAAACGGUUAUUACAGAAAUUGGUAGUAGAGAUAGAUAGGAUUGUGCCUAGGUUUUUUCCCCUUCACAUAAAGAGAGAAUUACUUAUAUUUUUCUAGCAGCAGAACUAAUUCCUCAGGUCAAAUAUUUUUUAACUCCCUAAUAUUUUAAUGCAUUUUUAUCAUAAAAAAUACUUGGCAUAAAGUUUACUAUCUUAACUAUUUUAAGUUAUAGUUCAGUGGCAUUAACUAUAUUCACACUGUUGUAAAACAGAUCUUUAGAACACUCUCAUCUUGUAAAACUGAAACUGGACCCAUUAAACGCCUCUCCAUUCUGCCCUCCCCAAGCCCUUGAUAUCCAGCUUUCUGCUUUCUGUUUCUGUGAAUUUGACUAAUUUAGAUACUUCAUGCAAGUGGAAUCUUAGAGCAUUUGUCUUUUUGUGAUUGGAUUUUUUGUCCUCAAGGAUCAUCCAUGUUGUAGCAUGUGACAAGACUUACUUUAGAAGAUUGUAUGUGUAUACCAUAUUUUGUUCACCUGUUGAUGGACAUUUAAUUUAGGUUGCUUCCACCUCUUAGCUAUUGUGUACUCCUUGUAUUUUUAUGUAUAGCUGGGGUUCUGUGAGAAGGAGCAGCUCAAGCAUUGUACUUCCUGUAAUUGAUUAGAGAUGGGCAGGAAGAGCCCUAGGCAGAA